rnacentral:rRNA from 1 species
GUAAGGGUGCGUAAACACGUAUGCAAUCCUGCCCUGUACAGGGGAAUAGCUCGGUGAAAACCGGAUUAAUGCCCCGUAAUAUGUUGGAGAGGCAUCUUUCUAACAUUAAAGUUGAGGCGGUACAGGAUAAGCAUGCGUAUGAUUAGUUAGUUGGCGGGGUAACGGCCCACCAAGACGAUGAUCAUUAGGGGAACUGAGAGGUUGAUCCCCCACACUGGCACUGAGAUACGGGCCAGACUCAUACGGGAGGCAGCAGUAGGGAAUAUUGGACAAUGGGUGAGAGCCUGAUCCAGCCAUGCCGCGUGCAGGAAGAAGGCCUUCUGGGUUGUAAACUGCUUUUGCCAGGGGAUAAAAUAUCUGUGCGCAGAUAUUGAAGGUACCUGGUGAAUAAGCCACGGUAACUACGUGCCAGCCGCCGCGG